GUCAGAAUGGCUUGUUGUCCGUGA
rnacentral:snRNA from 1 species